ensembl:lncRNA
GGACAGCGAGAGGAGAACACGUGCUUGAGAUAAAGAGAGAAAGAUUCCUGCCAUGGAGAACACCACCACAUUGUCCUGCAGAAACAUUUCUGAUGGUGAUGGUUACACUUACAAAGUGCCGUCUUAUAUACCAUCUGCUCUACUGCAGGACGAGGACUGUGAGCAAGAGUGGAAAAAUAAGGCAGGGGAGUUUUUGUCAGAUGGACAUCAUCAUGCAAAUAAAACUGAGCACCCACUGGUUCGUAAUGAAACCAUAAAAAACAUCAAAGUCUCUGAAUGCAUCGAGCUUCACCAUUCUGUGACCUGUCAUGGAUCGAGUCAAAAGUUUAAACACACUUACCAAGUGAUCAAUGACACCACCCUGAGUUUUGAGCAGCAAUCCGAUAGCAGCAGCACCACCAACACCACCAUCAUCUCUGUCGUCAUUCCCCUGAUUGUAGGCCUGCACUACAUUUUUAAAAAAAAAAAAAAAAAAAAAAAAAAAGGUAAAUAUGCAUCACCCUUACAUAGGCAGCUAAAUGAGGGAAGUUUAAAUAUUUGAAUCUGCUGUGUGAUGACUGUAACAUUAGACGUUGCACUGUGAUGUAGGGUGAAAUCAUUUGUGAAGGAGGGGGUUUUAAUGUUAAAAUGCUUUUCCUGCACGUUCACCUGUCCUGUUAAACCGCUGUAUGGUCUUGGCCAUCGUGCUGCAGCUCAGUGUCCGGUUCUUGGCAAUCUUCUUACAGCCUAGGCCAUUUUUAUGUAGAGCAACAAUACUUUUUUCAGAUCCUCAGAGUUCUUUGCCAUGACGUGCCAUGUUGAACUUCCAGUGACCAGUAUGAGGGAGUGUGAGAGCAAUGACACCAAAUUUAGCACCCAUGCUCCCCGAUUCACACCUGAGACCUUGUAACACUAACAAGUCACAUGACACCGGGGAGGGAAAAUGGCUAAUUGGGCCCAAUUUGGACAUUUUCACUUAGGGGUGUACUCACUUUUGUUGCCAGUGGUUUAGACAUUAAUGGCUGUGUGUUGAGUUAUUUUGAGGGGACAGAAAAUUUACACUGUUACACAAGCUGUACACUCACUACUUUACAUUGUAGCAAAGUGUCAUUUCUUCACUGUUGUCACAUGAAAAGAUAUAAUCAAAUAUUUACAAAAAUGUGAGGGGUGUACUCACUUUUGUGUGAUACUGUAUGUGUGUGUGUGUGUGUGUGUGUGUGUGUGUGUGUGUAUGUAUGUAGUGUGUGUAUAUCUAAAUGUGUGCAAUAUUUGUAUAUAUUUACAGUGAACCUGUUUUUACUUAUUCUUAAUUAACUGUUUUUAAACUCUCUCAUUUUAACUGUAAUGUUUAAGUGUCCUUUGUUGCUCUCUGAGAGUUGCCACACUAUAUUUCAUCGUAUUGCAUACAACAACAAAGUGUUUUACACUUAGUGUAAGAGUUAAACCUUAACUACUGGAUGUAGAUAAACAGGACUGAUUGAAACAAAUAUGGCUAUAUAGAUGUUUUUGAUGGAUAAAUAAAUAGUUAGGGCUGUCUAUUGAUUAUUUUGAUAAUUGAUUAGUGCACCAUUGCCUUCUAUUAAAUAAUCUAGUAGUUGAUAUCGUAUAGCAUCUUAAAACCUACUUAUUAAAUGUUAAAUUGUUUUUUUACCUAAUAUUCUGACUAUUUAAUGAAAAAAAAAUGUUUUUUUUGUGUAUAUACAAUUUAAAAAUCCUGAAUUGUAUCUGUAGCAUUACUGUUUUGUUUGUGUGUUUACUGUAAGGGAGACAAAGAAGAGAAAUUUAAAAUGGCAAAUUCUUAAUCUCAAUUUAAAAUGCACUUUAUUAAAUAAUUUGACUAAUUUGUAAUGGCUAAGAGCCGUUGAUGAAAACAGAAUGUAGGAUUUAAUGUUGCAAUGUUCCAAAUACAAAGUUUGUACUUAUACUGAUACUUGUUAUUGUCAGAGGUGGUUCGAGUAUCAAAAAUAGUAACUCAAGUUAAAGUACCAUUACUUAGAAAAAUACGCCAAUCUGUCCAAGUAUGUUCUUGAUUAAGAGUAUGACUGUAUCUAGUUAAAAAUUAAG